GAACGCGAAGAACCUUACCUACCCUUGACAUGGAAGGAAUCCUGGAGAGAUCCGGGAGUGCCCGAAAGGGAACCUUCACACAGGUGCUGCAUGGCUGUCGUCAGCUCGUGUCGUGAGAUGUUGGGUUAAGUCCCGCAACGAGCGCAACCCUUGUCAUUAGUUGCUACGCAAGAGCACUCUAAUGAGACUGCCGGUGACAAACCGGAGGAAGGUGGGGAUGACGUCAAGUCCUCAUGGCCCUUAUGGGUAGGGCUUCACACGUCAUACAAUGGUACAUACAGAGGGCCGCCAACCCGCGAGGGGGAGCUAAUCCCAGAAAGUGUAUCGUAGUCCGGAUUGUAGUCUGCAACUCGACUGCAUGAAGUUGGAAUCGCUAGUAAUCGCGGAUCAGCAUGUCACGGUGAAUACGUUCCCGGGUCUUGUACACACGC
rnacentral:rRNA from 1 species